CGCUCCCCUAUCAUUCUCGCAUACUUUCUCUCUCCUUCUCUCAAACCCUCAAAUCUUCGAUCACUCAAAUCUCCAUCUCCUUCGAUCUUCCUCAAAUCUUCAUCUCCUUCGAUCUCCCACAAAUCUCCGAUCUCCUUCCCUCACAAAGGUAUUCAGUCGCCUCCAUCCUCAACCGCCGUCGCCACCGUUAUUUUCCCAAAUUGUCGUCAUCAGAGGGUGGCCGGGUUCCUCUCCCUUUCUCUCUCGCCUCCAUCGUGCGCUUCCGAUCUCUGCGGAUCACCGUCGUCGCCACCGUUAUUUUCCCAAAUUGUCGUCAUCAGAGGGUGGGUUCCUCUCCCUUUCUCUCUCGCCUCCAUCGUGCGCUUCCGAUCUCUGCGGAUCACCGCCGUCGCCACCAUUAUUUCCGAAGGUUCUUGAAAGUAUAGUUCCUGAGUUCCGACGAGGAUGGUUGUGAGUUUAGUCCGUUUGAUAUUACCACUACUAAGAAUGCUCCUAUUGAACGCCUCAAACGCUGGAGGUGAGAACGGGAUUGGAAGGUCCUGGACUGACUGCUGCUCAAAAUAUGUGGUACUGCAUUGCUGCAGUAGGGGGUCAGUAUAUUUGGACGCGGUUGCAGUCUUUUUCUGCUUUUCGUAGAUGGGGAGACUCUGAGCAGAGGACAUUUGGACAACGGGCAUGGCUUUUGUUGCAGCAUGUAGAAGGAUUCUAUAAGGCUGCAUCAUUUAGCAACCUGCUUUUAUUUCUCUUAACUGAAAAGACUACGGGUAUUACGGGCAAGAAACAAGGGGAAGUAGAAAAGGGGCAGAGGAGAUAUGAUAAUGGUAGUGGGGACUUUUAUACAGAGCCAUCAAUGUAGCUGGUGAAUCCAUCUCGAAUUUCAAAGAAAAACAAGGGCCAGAUAUCACCGAACGAGUUCAGCCCCGGGCUUUUGGAUCUUCACUCUCAUGAUGCUGAACUUCUCACUGAGGUGGUUGUUAAAUUAAUCUCCCUGUCUCUCUCAACGAUUUUUUUUGAUUAAGUAAUGUAUUAUAUAAUACUUAUUCAUAAACUACAUUAUUUGGUUAAAAAGUGAAAUUUAAGUAACUGGGAUGGUUCUUUAAAGAUGAGGAUGUUAUGUUGUAAUCACAUUGCAUAACAUCAGUUUGGUUUAUGCUAUGUGAAUUUCUGGUUCUUAAUAGAGAAACUGCCACCAGGACCAGAUUGAUUAGGCAUAAUCACACCUUUAACUAUAUCUCUUAAUACGACAUACCUUCUUCCAAUACCAACGGCUGUUCUUUGGUCGUUGGUAUAUCCACCUGUGCUUUGGUGGUUGGCUGUUCUUUAAUAGUUCAUCAAUGCCGAACUCUUUUUUGUUUUCAGUGAUUAGUUGUUGAUUAAUUUCAUUGAUAUAAUCACUUUAGUGCUGGCUUUAUGGAUUUUUUUUGCAAUUUGCAAGUAGUUAUGUUGGUAGAUGAGGAAAUUAUUGUAUGAUCUCAUCUCUGAUGUUGCAGUUUUAAGAAUGUUGCAAAAAUAUGAACAAUGUUAAUCUUUGAUUAUUCUUUGAAGUUCUUUUAAGAAGCUUUCUAUGUUGUUUUAUCAUGUAUCCUUUAUCAUUUAUUAUAGAUGGUUGUUUCAAAUAGGUGGACAAUGAAAAGCUAAAGCAUCUGAGAGGUCUUAAGUUCUUUAUGUGCAUACUGUUAGAGUGUUAGGCAAAAGUUCUUGGGAAGUCUGGACACAUGAAAUAGGUAAGCCUUUGACUGGAAAUUUUAGAUGGGAGAAGAUCAAUAAUAUGCAAGUUAAGUAGUACAAGGGAGAUAGGGAUUCUCAAGUAUUCAAGGUUGAUUCCCGAGUUUCAGCUCGCCUUUUCACUAACCUUCUCACAAUCCUUAAUACCUCUAUUUGUUUUCAUUAGAGUUCUGAAUGUGAUCAGACUGUCCACAAUCUUAACCCUUUAACCAAACUAAGCCUUUGAUUCCUUUUGCUCAAGUCUGGACACAUAAAAAGAGAACACGGGCUACUGAUGAUUCACAUAUAUCAGAGGUAUGCUAUUCUGACGCAAGUACUAACAAGAGUUUCAUACUCAACUUGUUGCACCUUUUAGGACUGCUUUAAAUGUAUUGUAUGUUUCAGUAUCUUUUUAUUUCCGUACUUUUUUUAAUUGGUUGAUAAAAUCAUAUGGUUUGACUAAAGCAUUGUUCAAUUAAAUGUUGUGGAUUGGUAUGGCCAAUACAGAUUUGUGGAGGAUUAGUACUAUUUUCUGCUUAAUUAUGGAUUAGUAGAAUAGAGAGAGGAUACAAACUCAGUACCUUUAACCUAAUGUUUUUCCCUUAAGAGAGUUAACUCAAAGAAGGCUUCUGAUUUUGGGAGCAGAUAUGAAUGUUCUGCACAUGAAAGAACUCAGAAAGCAUGUUCAUAUUUACAUAGUGUCACUCCCAGUUUGUUGGGACAAGAUGCAAGUAACUAGGGCUAUUUAUCAUCUUUUCUAAUCCUCAUCUUUUGUAUUUCUUUCUGAAUAUUCUUUCAUUCUUUUUUUUAUAUCCUAUUUUCACAAUCUUAAUCAAAGAUGCAGUUCUUAACUAUGAUAUUAUACAAACAAUGGAGCACCACAAAUGACACCAAAUCUGUUCUUCAAGACCCUUUAUGGAGUUCAUACCCAACUCAAGCUGAACAAGCAGUGCUGCAGUUGCCACCAUUUCCCUUCACAUCAAAGGAUCAACUCAAUUAAGUAUUGUAGGAUGAAUUUCCUUCAUGAGUGUUUUAGAUUUUUUCUUUUCUUUUUGUUGUAAUUUGCAUUUCUGAAAUAAUAAUACAAUGAUUCUCAUAUGGUCUGAAAUGAAAAUUGUAAUUCCCUCGAACUCAUGUGUGUGUAAGUUCAUUUUACUGGGAUUUUUUUUUCUUCUCCGUGUUGGGGUUUUGCGGUAGCAAAUUCAAGGUUUGAUUUACUCUUUUUGAAUCGAGUUCCGGGUUUGUAUUUGUAUUGUUUUCUUCUUUGAUUUGCCAAUAAAAUGUUGUGAAUGUUAUCACUGUGAUUUUGUCGAG